AUUUGAUUUACAGACAUGUACAUUUUCUAUCAACCCCCUGGAAGGAGCGUCACAGUUCAGUUCUAGAACAAUAUUCCUUUGAUUUCUCUACACAUCUCUUGUAUUGACACGCUCUAAAAAUAAAAAAUAACCUCUGUUUUCUGCUCAAUAUCAGAAAUAGGUUUCUUUAUACAGGAUUCUUGUAUGACAAGAAGUAGAACAUUUCUCAGCACAUCACUUCAGUGAUUAUCAAGGUAGAAUUACUCAAUACAACGGAUUUAUACUUCUAAAUAAUUGAUGCUGAAUCAACUAAAUUUGGCAAAGUAAAACUCAAUUGGUGACCCGUCUGAACAGAGCCAACGUCCCUUCUCGUGUCAGGUGACAACAUGUCAGCAACUACAGUGUCGUGAGCGUGACGUGACAGACUUCUGAGGCUGCGGUUCAAAUCAAUCCCUGAACAUUAGGCGUGCAAAAUGGUUUGAUCGGAUGUUCUCAAAAUAAUAAUAAUUAAAAAAAACUUUACAAGAGCUACAAAAUGAAUGCAGAAUGUAUUGCACCCUAAACAUUAGACACAUCCAUCAUAUCGCAGUUCCUUUUGUGUGUGUAAUGUGUGUGAGAUACAUCUCAGGACUUGCUGGUCAGGUUUCAAAGGGGAUGGGGGGGAUUCCUCUCUAAUGCAUUGUAAGUGAUAAGAAGUUGCCAUCAGGAUUUCCUGUUGCUGUCUGGAAUUUUGAUUCCCCUCAGUAAUAGAGAGAUGUCGACAGCCCCUGCUCUCCUAAAAGGUCCUUUCUCUUAAUUGUGGAAUGGGAUAUCUACAAUUGCGAAGUAAAAAGGGUAUCUUUCCACAAUGGCUGGUAUUGUCACCAGCAUGGACAUUAGAAGCGACUCCGUCCCUGUGGGUUUUGUGUCCAGAAAUUGAAAACCAGCAAUCAGAGAGCUAAUCCCUCUGAAGAGAAACCUCUCUCCCUGAAAAGGCAGUGUGGAUUAGAAAGGUUGGUUCUUUGUAUUGCUUCUCGUGUACACAAAAAACAUUAAGCUACUCCUUAAAAGUCAGAAGAGAAGCUUUCUUUUUACUUUUGGGAAAAGCAUGCACUUUAUAAAUUAUAAAAAAAACGUCCAGUGUCUGUUUAAAUUGCCCGGAUUGCAUCACAUUCCUUCUGAAACAAUCAUAGGCAGUGACCUCCCGUUUCAAAUCCAACAUCAUGCAGAAAAAAAAAAAUCACAAGAGAGCUAAUGAAAAAUAAUGUGCAGAAAUCACGUUCUCUGGAUCUGUCUACGCCUAUGUAAGUGCUAAAGGCUCAAAAUAAGAAAAACACAUGAGGCCGUCAAAGGAAACAGCUGUUUGAUGGGAAAGCGCCAAUUUUUACGGAUGCUUUACUGAUGGUAACAGUUUUUCGCUUUGAGGGCUUACGAGCAGAGUGAUCAGAGUCUUUGGGAAUUACACUCCUACCGGGAAGCGCCAAAUCUCUCACUCCACUUGAAUUUUACAGCUUUUUUCUGUGUUUAAAAGCCAAGGCAGAAUGAAUUGUGGGUAAUUUGCAUUGGAGCAACAGAGACACCAAUGGAGCUUAAUGAUUGCAGUUGACACAUGCGGAUGUCGAGCCACGUAAUCAAACAGAUUUCAUCGCUAAUGGCUGGAUUCUGGUGCGCAUGUCAACACAGUCAGUGAUCACAAGUCAUGAGGGCCGUGGGUCAGUGCAAAGUCGGAAGGAAUGUAAUGACGCUAUGGCACUUGGUGCAGAUUGACAGCCAAUGCAACAGACAGACGAGCAGACAGACAGGCAGGUUCAUUGUCAGCAUUCAGUAGUAUGGUAUCAGGAGUCGGGGGGACGGGGGGGAGGGGUGGUCACAGGGGAUUGCCGCACCCCAAAGUCCUCCCUGGAAGGUUCAGUGGAUCCUCUGGGACAGAGGGGUGGAGGACACCAGCUGGCGGCUGGUCGGCAUCAGCCGGCGGCUGUGCUCCUUCUCACAGACCUGGGAUUUAGAGGCGUAUCAAGGAGGGGCAAGACGCUCCCUCGUUCUAGUUCUGAGCAGCUUCUGUGAAACUGUAUAGACAAAGGGCAGCAGGAGCCAAGAGGAGGAGGAAGAGGAGGAGGAUCGUGGCGAGGACAGCAAUGACGAGAACUUGGACGUGACUUCAAAUGAGGGGAUCAGCUUUCCUUGGUUUUAACUCCAAUGUGUCAUCUUUUAGUGUUUGGCUGCUCCUUCAAGUGGCUCCUCAUGUUGUUGUCACCUGCAAGAGAGAGAGUGAGGGAGAGAGAGAGAGGAGAGAAGGAGGGAGAGAGUGGGAAGGAAAUAUUGCCAUUAGAGUCUGGACUCACCAUAGGACAUGUAAUUAAUGUGGAGGUCAGAAGCUCCUGAGCCAUCUGUUAGGACCUCCCUGAUCAUGCCUGCACACAAGGACCAGCCUGUGACCUAAAUAUUUUCCUGCACACAACAUACCAACACAUAACAGUUGGUUUGAGGCAGACCCCCCCUCUGAUUAUUAAUAAUUAUUUUUAAUGUCAAAUAAUUUUAAUCCAAAUAAAUAAAUAAAUCUGGCGUAACGCCGGGAGACAAGUGAAUGUAAGUAGAGUAAUAAUAUAGCGUUGCAGGAGGAUGAGAGGACUGUUGUUCUGGUUCUGCGGAUACAGAUCCAAUCCUCUCAGGGAUGAACCGUUUCCCUACCUUAUGAGUGUUGGUUGUUGAUGUAAACUGUGAAGUGUUUAUGAGCCAAACUCAAAUGCCAUCGUGAUAAUUAAAGCUGCGAAUGCUUUGAUGCGUGUGACAUCGGCCCGACUAGUUGAAGACUACUUCACUGUGGACCGGUCUGGUAAGCGGGUAAACUUGGGGUUUUGGCUUCGAAGAAGCGAGGCGCGUGAAAACUGACUGGCCUCUCAUUCGAGGACGGAUGGAGAGAGUGGCGGAUGGGUUGGUACACGAGACAAAGGAUACUUUAAUGUAAAGAGAAGAGCUCUUUCUUUUCACGUAUUCAUUGUAUUAUGAAAGAGGACGAGAAUCGAGGGCCUUUCUGAGUGCUUUGUAACCUAAACAGGUCCCAUCAUGUGUGUGUGUGUGUGUGUUGUGGUCACUGGACUACCGGGCAUCAUUAACCCAUUCUGCUGACUGGGGACUCUGAGCUUUUGUUAAAUGAUAAGAGUGCCUGCAGCUGUGUAAACACUUUUAACAGUUAAAGUUUGGACAGCGGUGACUAAAUCAGAGUUUGGCCUCGAGAUGUGAGUUUCUCCCCCCCCACCCCCACCCCCCCACCAGUAAUAUGAGAUUGUGGUUACUGAAUAAAUGAGCGCAAAGCCACGCUGUCCGGUCUUUUGACAGCCCCCUCCCCCCCAGCUCAGGGACGUCCUCUAGUAAUCACGCACCGUGGGGUCAAUCUGGGCAGCGGAGGCGGGUUCCUCCUGCAGAGGAAGUUAAUUGGAUCGCGGCCUAUCUGAUCUGCGUCUGGGGUUCCCUCACCGGAGAUUAAUAUGAUCGCGAUGGAAAACGGCUUAGGCCGUCACUGCUCCUCUUUAUCCUCAUUUUGUGCAACGGGCGUGUGUCAUUUCUCUCCUCCUCUGAAUCCCUCUCCUUCACUUCCCCUCCUCGUCAGAACCCAGCACUUGUUCCUGUACUCUGAAUUCUACCACUGCUCCACACCGCCGCCUUUCCACAUUUCUGCCUUAAUUGGUUCCCGGAGCGGCGUCUUGCACCACUCGGAACACAAUGGUCAGAGCAGGCGUGAAUGCGGAACACUUGUCAACGGUGAGCGGAUGAACUGUGAACUGUAUUGAUCGGCAAGUCCCCAGGGAGGAAAUAGUGCCUGACACUGAUUGGAUUAUCCCCCACGACAGAUUUGUUGACAAUCAAUCACCACAGUGCGUCGCGUCGAUUCACUUUACAAUUUCAAUGAAUCAUUUUUCAGGUGAAUUUGAAUCUGACCUCAAGCCACUGUAGUCACAGUUCUCUAUAAUUAGCCUCCUUAGACACUACGGAGAAAACGCUUUAACUGCUGAGUGUGACAGUCGGAGGACAGAUGAAACACUUGUACAGCACAUGAGCGUCCCCUGAAACCUGAUGUGUGCGGGAGCCUUUCAUGUCACCUAUCAUUAAGUGUGCAUACUAAUGACACCCUGUCAAUGGUAAUGACCUUCAGUAAAAGGCCACAAGGCUGUAGUUUUGCAUAUUGUAGCACGCUAACUG
ensembl:lncRNA